CCGAUGCUCGCCGCCGUGCGAUCCCGAGCCCUGGGCGGAUGCCGCCCGGUUCUUCCACGCCUCCUCUCGUCCGCCAGCGCCUCGCCGGCUCGGCCGGCGGAGCUUAUCGAGCUCUCGGAGGUGGAGAAGGUGCUGAGCGACGUCCGUGCCGGGGACGUGCGUGUGUUCCCCGUCGGUGAGGGCGGACUCCACGGCGGCGCCUGUGCGGACUACAUGGUUGUCGCCACCGGCCGCUCCGACUGGCACGUCCGCAAUAUAGCCCAGGCUAUACUCUACAAGAUAAAGCAGAAACAAAAGGGUUCUGAUCGAAUAUUGAUGCCGAGUGUAGAAGGCCAGCAAGCUGGAAAGUGGGUCGUCAUUGAUUCUGGAAGUAUCAUCAUCCACGCGCUUGAAGAAAGAGCAAGAGAGUACUAUGAUCUGGAAAGCGUUUGGACAAAGGCGGUGUCCCCUAACAUUUCUGCUCAGGAGUUCGAGACUUCACUUGUGAAGACACGCCGCAGGGACCACUCGCAGAAACCCAUGAAGAGCAUCUGAGGUAAAUGUGCCGCGGCCAUGAUCGAUCGCCUGCGGUGUUGAGUAUUCCGAGUUUUCUGUACCGUCAAGUCUCAUUUGGAUGUACUAUUGUGUGCAAGAACCUUGAAGGGUAGAUUUCUAAGUUUGCUUGUGAAUGAUAUGUCUCAUCAGGAUUCAUGGCACCAUGAUGUCUCUGCAAGCUUGUGUUUGUGUUUUGUACUUUUGUUCAUUUUGUCGCCUGCAAGUUCAAGCCAAGAUUGUGGUUUUUCUUUUGUUUCCUGUUGUUAUCCACCUCUUUGGAUAGUACUCAUAAUACAUACUGGUGCUAUCUUGGAUACAAGGUAACACUUUGAACCUCUAUGCUUUUAAGAGGCCUUA